rnacentral:rRNA from 1 species
AUUGAACGCUGGCGGCAGGCCUAACACAUGCAAGUCGAGCGGAGCGGCGGACGGGUGAGUAAUGCCUAGGAAUCUGCCUGGUAGUGGGGGAUGACGUCCGGAAACGGACGCUAAGACCGCAUACUAGCAGUUGAGCCUAUGUCGGGUUAGCUAUUUGGUGGGGUAAAGGCCUACCCAGGCGACGAUCCGUAACUGGUCUGAGAGGAUGAUCAGUCACACUGGAACGGAGCUACGGCCCAUACUCCGACGGGAGGAAUCAGUGGGGAAUAUUGGACAAUGGGCGAAAGCCUGAUGCAGCCAUGCCGCGUGUGUGAAGAAGGUCUUCGGAUUGUAAAGCACUUUAAGUGGGGAGGCGUUACCCACAGAAUAAGCACCGGCUAACUACGUGCCAGCAGCCGCGGUAAUAC